CCUACGGGUGGCAGCAGUGAGGAAUAUUGGUCAAUGGACGAGAGUCUGAACCAGCCAAGUAGCGUGAAGGAUGACUGCCCUAUGGGUUGUAAACUUCUUGUAUAUGGGAAUAAAAUGUUCCACGUGUGGGAUUCUGUACGUACCAUAUGACUAAGGAUCGGCUAACUCCGUGCCAGCAGCCGCGGUAAUACGGAGGAUCCGAGCGUUAUCCGGAUUUAUUGGGUUUAAAGGGAGUGUAGUUGGAUUGGUAAGUCAGUUGUGAAAGUUUGCGGCUCAACCGUAAAAUUGCAGUUGAAACUGGCUGUCUUGAGUACAGGAGAGGUAGGCGGAAUUCGUGGUGUAGCGGUGAAAUGCGUAGAUAUCACGAAGAACACCGGUGGCGAAGGCAGUUCACUGGACUGCAACUGACGGUGAGGCUCGAAAGUGUGGGGAUCAAACAGGAUUAGAUACCCCGGUAGUC
rnacentral:rRNA from 1 species